GACGAACCGUGCGAACGUUGUUCGGAAUCACUGGGCUUAAGGGGCGCGUAGGCGGCCCGCCGCGUCCGGGGUGAAAUCCUCCCGCUCAACGGGAGGACGGCCUCGGAUACGGGCGGGCUGGAGGGGGGUAGGGGCACGCGGAACUGUGGGUGGAGCGGUGAAAUGCGUUGAGAUCCACAGGAACUCCGGUGGCGAAGGCGGCGUGCUGGACCCCACCUGACGCUGAGGCGCGAAAGCCAGGGGAGCGAACGGG
rnacentral:rRNA from 1 species